UCAGUGUUGCACCUUACAUGCUUCUAGCCAGCAGUACUUCAGUAUGACUCAAAUAUUGAUCUAAAUCAUUUAUGGCAUAAAUUAAAGUUCCUUCGAGACAGGAGGAGAUAGCAGUUAGACCAACAGAAAGCAGCUCCAAAUUUCCUAAAAUAAGAUCUUUGGUUCUCUGGAGGAAUCCUGAGCAUAAUCUCAAGAGUCCAUGAGAAUUUUUCAUUUGAGAAUUUCAUAUCAGUAGCUACCUAAAACAUGUGCAUAAGCAUAUUUUUGACCAUUUAAUGGCAACCUCACAACUAAUAAUUUUCCCCAUAUUCAAAGACCUUAAUAGUGUUUUUGUCUUGAGUUUGUUGUACCCAAGUAGUUCUAUUUCAUCCUGGGCUAAAGUGAAAAAUAAAAAAAUGGAGGCAGAAUUACUAUGUAAAUGGUGAAUUUCUGCCAAGUGAGGACCAAAUGACAUCAUGUUAUGGUUUUGCAGUAGUUGGAACAGAGAAGAGAGGUGGAAAAAAUGACUGAUCUCACAGCACACAGAUGUAUGGGAAUGAUGACCACAAAAGAACUUGAACCUUAACAAAAGAGAAGUAUCCAGGAUUCUGAACCCCCAGACCUUUUGCCAGCUCCCAGGUGUGGCCACCACCUCAGGAUGGUGUGAUACAUCAAGGAGUUACAGAACCAGGGGAUUGUCUCCAUUUUACCAGCGAAAUUGUUUGGGGAGAAGAUCAAGUAGAAGACCCGUCUUCAUAGCAACCUGUAAUCCAUAGCAACCACCUCCACCGACCUCCAAACCCAUCAAAAUGAUGGAAAGCUAUGGAAAAGUUGUAAGCUGUGGAGUGACAAGAAAAGAUUUGACUUACAAUCCCUUACUCAUGUCCAAGUACUCCAUCCCAGUUCCAUUACUGAAGGGAGGAGGUCCAGCAUCUCACUACACGGAUACAGGGAAACGUGGACCAUUGAGCCCACGUUUGGAAUCAAUCUACCGCAAGAAAGGGGCAGAAAUGAGGAACCUCCCUCCACAGCUUUAGUAAAAUGAUGCCCAGAAGUAAAGUCAGCCAUGAUUUUAGCUAUCAUGCAUUUUAUGGAUUCCUGGGGUAAAAAUAAAGAGGCUGUGACAAACCAGGAGAACUGUGUCUUCUCCAUCAUUCCUCCUCCCCUCCAUGGCAUCACUUUCUGCCACUCCCUGCCCCAGAGAAAGGAUGUAUAACUGUGACUUCGAGGAGGAAGACUUUAUUUGUAGAAGGAAGGAGGGUUUUAGAGAUGAUGAUGUAAAAGGCUGAACCAAAAAUAACAACCAGUCUUACAUAUGCCGUUUCUCUUCUGCAUUGAUGAUCCCAAGAAGAUUACUAGGCGGGAUCAUCUGAAAGAUCCUUUUGUGCAAACAAUCAGCCUGCUAAUGAAACAAG